CGCCGCUUACCUGUGCGGGCGGGCCUGGGCGGCCCCGCGUGUGGCCUGAGGGGCGGCGGGGCGGCACAGCCCACUGCCAGUAGUUCCGUGCAACGCCGCAGCUGCGCUGACAGUGUUCUAAUCCCCGUCCAGUUUUACCGUGACUGGAGGUUAUCCUGGAGGAGGGCCAGCCUUUGCCGGAGCACAUCUCUUCCUCCCAGGCAGCUGGCAGAUGAGGCGCUGUGCCAGACCUUGCGCCAGAGGCACCAUCCACAGCACCAGUCCUCAGCUGUACUGCUCCUGCUGCCGAGUCACCCAGGGCAAGGAGUUCUUUUGCUAGCAUCCUCAGCGCUGAGAUUACUGCUAGAGACAAACAAGCAGACUAAUACAUCACAAAUCAAGGUAAGAAAUUUAAAGAUUUCCAAUAAGCUCUUCUACCAAGUUUAUUAAUAUGCUGUCCUAAGUGUCAGAGGUAAAAAGUUAUAAAACAAUGAAGGAUACAUGGAUCAGCUACAGUGUUAGUGUGUCCAGGUGGCAAUAACUUCUGCUAUAAUUUAUCACAGAACAAGCUUGAAAUGAUCUUGUCUUCUUCGAAGGGGAAUGUUUAACAGCUGUUUGCCCCACCAUGGGGGCACAAUGGGUAGGUGCUUCCACAGGAGGCAGAUAUUAUACAGUGAGUGACAGCAGCUGGAAGCCUUGAAGAGGCAAUGGAUGAUCAGUGAUCAGCAUAUUUCAUUUGAACUGCUGUUCCUUAUCACUUUACCAAGAGGAUUCUGGAUACCUCAAACUCACCAGCUGGAAUAGAAUGGAGAAAUGGCGCAGUUGAAGUGCAGUUCUGAAUGGGGCAAAACUCCUCCCAGCAAUGUCACUGGCAAGUAGUUCCACCACAUGACAGAAGUCACAGACAGCACAGAGGAUGCUG
rnacentral:lncRNA from 1 species